UCGGUGAAGGAUGGACUCGCGGCCUAUCAGUUUGUUGGUGAGGUAAUGGCUCACCAAGACGAUGACGGGUAGCCGGCCUGAGAGGGCGACCGGCCACACUGGGACUGAGACACGGCCCAGACUCCUACGGGAGGCAGCAGUGGGGAAUAUUGCACAAUGGGCGAAAGCCUGAUGCAGCGACGCCGCGUGGGGGAUGACGGCCUUCGGGUUGUAAACCUCUUUCAGUAGGGAAGAAGCGAAAGUGACGGUACCUGCAGAAGAAGCGCCGGCUAACUACGUGCCAGCAGCCGCGGUAAUACGUAGGGCGCAAGCGUUGUCCGGAAUUAUUGGGCGUAAAGAGCUCGUAGGUGGCUUGUCGCGUCUGCCGUGAAAACCCGAGGCUCAACCUCGGGCGUGCGGUGGGUACGGGCAGGCUAGAGUGUGGUAGGGGAGACUGGAACUCCUGGUGUAGCGGUGAAAUGCGCAGAUAUCAGGAAGAACACCGAUGGCGAAGGCAGGUCUCUGGGCCAUUACUGACACUGAGGAGCGAAAGCAUGGGUAGCGAACAGGAUUAGAUACCCUGGUAGUCCAUGCCGUAAACGUUGGGCACUAGAUGUGGGGGACAUUCCACGUUUUCCGCGUCGUAGCUAACGCAUUAAGUGCCCCGCCUGGGGAGUACGGCCGCAAGGCUAAAACUCAAAGGAAUUGACGGGGGCCCGCACAAGCGGCGGAGCAUGCUGAUUAAUUCGAUGCAACGCGAAGAACCUUACCAAGGCUUGACAUGCACCGGACGGCCGCAGAGAUGUGGCUUUCUUCGGACUGGUGCACAGGUGGUGCAUGGUUGUCGUCAGCUCGUGUCGUGAGAUGUUGGGUUAAGUCCCGCAACGAGCGCAACCCUUGUUCUAUGUUGCCAGCACGUCAUGGUGGGGACUCAUAGGAGACUGCCGGGGUCAACUCGGAGGAAGGUGGGGACGACGUCAAAUCAUCAUGCCCCUUAUGUCUUGGGCUUCAAGCAUGCUACAAUGGUCGGUACAAUGGGUUGCGAAACUGUGAGGUGGAGCGAAUCCCAAAAAGCCGGCCUCAGUUCGGAUUGGGGUCUGCAACUCGACCCCAUGAAGUCGGAGUCGCUAGAAUCGCAGAUCAGCAAC
rnacentral:rRNA from 1 species